rnacentral:rRNA from 1 species
UACGAAGGGGGCUAGCGUUACUCGGAUUGACUGGGCGUAAAGGGCGCGUAGGCGGAUGGUACAGUCAGACGUGAAAUUCCUGGGCUCAAUCUGGGGGCUGCGUUUGAUACGUGCUGUCUGGAGUUCGGAAGAGGGUCGUGGAAUUCCCAGUGUAGAGGUGAAAUUCGUAGAUAUUGGGAAGAACACCGGUGGCGAAGGCGGCAUCCUGGACCAACAUUGACGCUGAGGAGCGAAAGCUAGGGGGAGCAAACGGGG